rnacentral:rRNA from 1 species
GACGAACGCUGGCGGCGUGCUUAACACAUGCAAGUCGAACGGAGAGGCCCUGCUUUUGUGGGGUGCUCGAGUGGCGAACGGGUGAGUAACACGUGAGUAACCUGCCCUUGACUUUGGGAUAACUUCAGGAAACUGGGGCUAAUACCGGAUAGGAGCUCCUGCUGCAUGGUGGGGGUUGGAAAGUUUCGGCGGGUGGGGAUGGACUCGCGGCUUAUCAGCUUGUUGGUGGGGUAGUGGCUUACCAAGGCUUUGACGGGUAGCCGGCCUGAGAGGGUGACCGGCCACAUUGGGACUGAGAUACGGCCCAGACUCCUACGGGAGGCAGCAGUGGGGAAUAUUGCACAAUGGGCGGAAGCCUGAUGCAGCAACGCCGCGUGCGGGAUGACGGCCUUCGGGUUGUAAACCGCUUUCGCCUGUGACGAAGCGUGAGUGACGGUAAUGGGUGAAGAAGCACCGGCUAACUACGUG